GAUGAACGCUGGCGGCGUGCUUAACACAUGCAAGUCGAACGGAAAGGCCAUGCUUUUGUGGGGUACUCGAGUGGCGAACGGGUGAGUAACACGUGGGUAACCUGCCCUUGACUUUGGGAUAAGUUCAGGAAACUGGGGCUAAUACCGGAUAGGAGCCACUGGUGGAUGGGGGGGGGGGGAGAUUUUGCGGUUUGGGAUGGGCUCGCGGCGUAUCAGCUUGUUGGUGGGGUGUUGGCCUACCAAGGCGUUGACGGGUAGCCGGCCUGAGAGGGUGUCCGGCCACAUUGGGACUGAGAUACGGCCCAGACUCCUACGGGAGGCAGCAGUGGGGAAUAUUGCACAAUGGGCGGAAGCCUGAUGCAGCAACGCCGCGUGCGGGAUGACGGCCUUCGGGUUGUAAACCGCUUUCGUCUGUGACGAAGCGAGAGUGACGGUAACUGGAUAAGAAGCACCGGCUAACUACGUG
rnacentral:rRNA from 1 species